rnacentral:rRNA from 1 species
ACUCCUACGGGAGGCAGCAGUAGGGAAUCUUCCACAAUGGACGAAAGUCUGAUGGAGCAACGCCGCGUGAACGAUGAAGGCCUCGGUCGUAAGUUACUGUUGUAAGGAAGAACAAGUAGCCGCAGGCAAUGGCGGCACCUUGACGGUACCUUGCGAGAAAGCCACGGCUAACUAACGUGCCAGCAGCCGCGGUAAUACGUAGGUGGCAAGCGUUGUCCGGAAUUAUUGGGCGUAAAGCGCGCGCAGGCGGCCUCUUAAGUCUGAUGUGAAAGCCCCGGCUCAACCGGGGGAGGGCCAUUGGAAACUGGGAGGCUUGAGUAUAGGAGAGAAGAGUGGAAUUCCACGUGUAGCGGUGAAAUGCGUAGAGAUGUGGAGGAACACCAGUGGCGAAGGCGACUCUUUGGCCUAUAACUGACGCUGAGGCGCGAAAGCGUGGGGAGCAAACAGGAUUAGAUACCCUGGUAGGAUAGCG